rnacentral:rRNA from 1 species
UACGGGGGGGCAAGCGUUGUUCGGAAUUACUGGGCGUAAAGGGCUCGUAGGCGGCCAACUAAGUCAGACGUGAAAUCCCUCGGCUUAACCGGGGAACUGCGUCUGAUACUGGAUGGCUUGAGUUCGGGAGAGGGAUGCGGAAUUCCAGGUGUAGCGGUGAAAUGCGUAGAUAUCUGGAGGAACACCGGUGGCGAAGGCGGCAUCCUGGACCGAUACUGACGCUGAGGAGCGAAAGCCAGGGGAGCAAACGGGA